AUGAACGCUGGCGGCGUGCCUAAUACAUGCAAGUCGAACGAGUUCUGAUUAUUGGAAGGUGCUUGCAUCUUGAUUUAAUUUUGAACGAGUGGCGGACGGGUGAGUAACACGUGGGUAACCUGCCCUUAAGUGGGGGAUAACAUUUGGAAACAGAUGCUAAUACCGCAUAAAUCCAAGAACCGCAUGGUUCUUGGCUGAAAGAUGGCGUAAGCUAUCGCUUUUGGAUGGACCCGCGGCGUAUUAGCUAGUUGGUGAGGUAACGGCUCACCAAGGCAAUGAUACGUAGCCGAACUGAGAGGUUGAUCGGCCACAUUGGGACUGAGACACGGCCCAAACUCCUACGGGAGGCAGCAGUAGGGAAUCUUCCACAAUGGACGCAAGUCUGAUGGAGCAACGCCGCGUGAGUGAAGAAGGCUUUCGGGUCGUAAAACUCUGUUGUUGGAGAAGAAUGGUCGGCAGAGUAACUGUUGUCGGCGUGACGGUAUCCAACCAGAAAGCCACGGCUAACUACGUGCCAGCAGCCGCGGUAAUACGUAGGUGGCAAGCGUUAUCCGGAUUUAUUGGGCGUAAAGCGAGCGCAGGCGGUUUUUUAAGUCUGAUGUGAAAGCCCUCGGCUUAACCGAGGAAGUGCAUCGGAAACUGGGAAACUUGAGUGCAGAAGAGGACAGUGGAACUCCAUGUGUAGCGGUGAAAUGCGUAGAUAUAUGGAAGAACACCAGUGGCGAAGGCGGCUGUCUGGUCUGUAACUGACGCUGAGGCUCGAAAGCAUGGGUAGCGAACAGGAUUAGAUACCCUGGUAGUCCAUGCCGUAAACGAUGAAUGCUAGGUGUUGGAGGGUUUCCGCCCUUCAGUGCCGCAGCUAACGCAUUAAGCAUUCCGCCUGGGGAGUACGACCGCAAGGUUGAAACUCAAAGGAAUUGACGGGGGCCCGCACAAGCGGUGGAGCAUGUGGUUUAAUUCGAAGCAACGCGAAGAACCUUACCAGGUCUUGACAUCUUUUGAUCACCUGAGAGAUCAGGUUUCCCCUUCGGGGGCAAAAUGACAGGUGGUGCAUGGUUGUCGUCAGCUCGUGUCGUGAGAUGUUGGGUUAAGUCCCGCAACGAGCGCAACCCUUAUGACUAGUUGCCAGCAUUUAGUUGGGCACUCUAGUAAGACUGCCGGUGACAAACCGGAGGAAGGUGGGGAUGACGUCAAAUCAUCAUGCCCCUUAUGACCUGGGCUACACACGUGCUACAAUGGAUGGUACAACGAGUUGCGAGACCGCGAGGUCAAGCUAAUCUCUUAAAGCCAUUCUCAGUUCGGACUGUAGGCUGCAACUCGCCUACACGAAGUCGGAAUCGCUAGUAAUCGCGGAUCAGCACGCCGCGGUGAAUACGUUCCCGGGCCUUGUACACACCGCCCGUCACACCAUGAGAGUUUGUAACACCCGAAGCCGGUGGCGUAACCCUUUUAGGGAGCGAGCCGUCUAAGGUGGGACAAAUGAUUAGGGUG
rnacentral:rRNA from 1 species